UGAUAAUGGAAAUUGAAUGAUGCUACUAAAUGAAAUCUGAACUCAGGUACCUGAGGUGGAUACAGCUGUAAGGUCAUUGACAGUAAUAUAUGAUGGAACCCCUUGGUAGUUGCUGCAAUUAAUCACGGAACUUACUUUGUUUGGCGUUUGUUGAGCGGGACACAAGUAGAUCACUGAAAUAUAUUAUUCGGUGGCUAUGAUAAUUAACUGGCUUAUAACUUUGAAUAUCUUCUGCAGCAGAGAAUGACAAAUUUUGAGCCGCUUCAUAGACUUCAAGCACUCAAAGGAUACAUCCUUAAAUGCCUUCUUUCUCCUGAAUAUUGUGAACCCCAUAGGGCACCAACGGUGGGUAUGGGACUGCGUCUUUUCGGUAGAUAGUGCCUACCUCAUUCAGCUUCCUCGAACGGGACAUCAAAGCUGUGGUCUAUGACAAGUGGUGAAGUAAUCCAAACUUAACAAGGCCAUAACAAAGCUGUUGUUUGUUGUGCUCUGAAUGAUGGAGCUGAAGUAUCUUCUUGACAAUCCAACCUUUCACGUCCGUUUCACUUCUCGUAUUCAACUAACUAGCUAGCCAACAAUAGGAAGUUGCAUCAAGAGAAGCAUGAAAGGUGGUGAUACAACAAGUGGGGCCCAUCAUCUAAAUUCUAACCAAAUGUUGUUUCUAGUUGGCUUAAUAUAGUUUGUAAAUAAAUAUACAUUAUUUAUUAUUUGAUUGAUAUAAUUGGCA